GGCCCUUUAGGGACAUCUGAUAAAAUUGGAACGAUACAGAGAAGAUUAACAUGGCUCAUGCACAAAGAUGACACUCACAAAUUGAGAAACGAUUCAAAUUUUU